rnacentral:rRNA from 1 species
AACGGGUGAGUAACAUAUCGGAACGUACCCAGUCGGUGGGGGGAUAACUAUCCGGAAAGGAUAGCUAAUACCGCAUACCGACCCGAGGGUGAAGCGGGGACGAAAGGCCUCGCGCGAUUGGAGCGGCCGAUAUCGGAUUAGCUAGUUGGUGAGGUAAAGGCUCACCAAGGCGACGAUCCGUAGCUGGUCUGAGAGGACGACCAGCCACACUGGAACUGAGACACGGUCCAGACUCCGUACGGGGAGGCAGCAGGUGGGGUAAGUUUUGGAACAAUGGGGGCAACCCUGAUCCAGCCAUUCCGCGUGAGUGAAGAAGGCCUUCGGGUUGUAAAGCUCUUUCAGCAGGAACGAAACGGUGGUCCCUAAUACGGGCUACUAAUGACGGUACCUGAAGAAGAAGCACCGGCUAACUACGUG